rnacentral:lncRNA from 1 species
GUUCACGUAGCACCGGGAAGAGUAUCUAGAACUGGGUGAUCUAAAAUAGUUUCUUAGGUGAUAUCAGCUUGCUCUUUAACUCUGUUUGAGAACACACUGUGUAUGGACCCACAUGCUUACCAAAGCCUUGUGUAAUCAAAACAUAUAUAAGUAAAGUGAUUUCGGUAUAACACAGACAAGACAAGCUGAGCUGCCGACCCUCCACUCAGUGUCUGUCUCAUUCUCUUGUCGCCGACUCCACACCUCCUCUCAGGAUCUGAACCCGCUGGAGCUGGACUCUGGGAGAGCAGGAAAAGAUAAAUUAUUACUGAAGCUGGACCUGCUAACUGGAUCUAGAGAUGGCUUGGGGUUGGCAGAGGGUUAUGAAGACUGCAGAGUUGGGGCUGAGUAGCUCUUGCUCUCUGAAGUCUCCACCCAGUCCAGAUGGUGACCAAGGCCUCAGGAGGAACUCAGGUCCUUGCUUUCCCUGGGAAUGGUUUCUGUUCUUGUCAGCGAAGCUCUGAUCUUCACCUUGAGCAUCACUUCCUGGCUCCAGUCCAGAUCUCUCAGCCUGGUGACAGAAAUCCUUUACCCCACAGGCACAGGAUUUCUAGCUUCCAUCACUGGCCUUUGGGCCUUCCUGGUGCAGAUCCUCAAUAUGGACUUGCAAGAGACAUUGCCAUGAGGCUCUAGGCCUCUGGCUGGACUCAUGGAGAACAUUGCCUUGGGCUCUAGGCCUUUAGCUGGAUUUGUGGGAGACAUUGCCAUGGGAUCCUGACCCUUGGCUGGAUUCUGUAGACAGAUCUCUUGCACUCUUCUGCAUUUGAUUUUUUGGGUGAAUAUUAUAAAAUAAUCACAUAAAUUAUGUGUCCUGUAUUAAAUCCAUUCCCUCGCAAACCAUGACUACAACAACAUCCUCAUUUACGUAGGUAAGAUAGAACACAAUUUUUGUACCCGCUUCUAUUAUUAUGGGAAUAUUAUGGGAAUAUUAUGCUUUUCACUGGUUUAAAAUAAUCUUUUCUAUUUCUGGAUAUGUUUUUCAGUCUCUUUUGUUAGUGAUUAUCUUAUCAAACUGUCUUCAGGAAUUCUUAGAAUCUGUGUCACAGGGAGUCAUCCCAAAUCUGGUAAACUUUUCAUUUUGUUUUUCUACUUUAUACACUAUGGCACUUUGAGUUAUACAGAUGGCUACUUGCUUAGAACCUGUUCUGAUGAAGCCUGUUUCCCAUUCUGGGUCCCAGAUAAUUAGAUGCAUCUCCUGACUUUAGGUGCCAAGAAACAGCCCAGAGCCUGAAGUGGUGUUUCCUUAUGACCUGUUCUUAGAGAAGCAUGAAAUGGAAGUCCUCCUGGGUGAAGUGAUGGUAAAAGCUCAAAUCAUCUUCAGAUCCCAGCUUAUUUAAGAAAUGGUUUCUGUGGGAUGUGGUGCAAAUGAUUCUGAUUUUUCUCUGUGUGUUGAUGUUGAUAUUAAAAGUGGUCAAAGGAGCCCACUGCGGCAGGCAGG